rnacentral:rRNA from 1 species
CCUACGGGUGGCUGCAGUGGGGAAUCUUGCGCAAUGGGCGAAAGCCUGACGCAGCAACGCCGCGUGCGGGAUGACAGCCUUCGUGGUUGUAAACCGCUUUCAGCAGGGACGAAAAUGACUUUACCUGCAGAAGAAGCCCCGGCUAACUACGUGCCAGCAGCCGCGGUAAUACGUAGGGGGCAAGCGUUGUCCGGAUUCAUUGGGCGUAAAGAGCUCGUAGGCGGUUCAGUAAGUUGGGUGUGAAAGCUUCGGGCUCAACCCGGAGAGGCCACCCAAUACUGCUGGGACUGGAGUCCAGUAGAGGAGCGUGGAAUUCCUGGUGUAGCGGUGAAAUGCGCAGAUAUCAGGAGGAACACCAGCAGCGAAGGCGGCGCUCUGGGCUGGAACUGACGCUGAGGAGCGAAAGCGUGGGUAGCAAACAGGAUUAGAUACCCUGGUAGUC